CCGAGUUCAUGCCCUUCGGGGUAGACCUCCCACCCUUGAUUAUCACCCUUCGUUGCUUUGGCGAGCCGCUGCUUAGGCGGCCGCCGGCGGGGAUCUCCCUCGCUGGUGUGUGCUCGCCAGAGAACCCCUCACUCACUGUAUUUAUGUCGUCCGAGUAUUAUAUAAUAGUUA
rnacentral:misc_RNA from 1 species